rnacentral:rRNA from 1 species
UACGGGGGGGGUAAGCGUUGUUCGGAAUUACUGGGCGUAAAGGGCUCGUAGGCGGCCAACUAAGUCGGACGUGAAAUCCCUCAGCUUAACUGGGGAACUGCGUCCGAUACUGGAUGGCUUGGAUUUGGGAGAGGGAUGCGGAAUUCCAGGUGUAGCGGUGAAAUGCGUAGAUAUCUGGAGGAACACCGGUGGCGAAGGCGGCGUUCUGGACUGCAACUGACACUGAGAGACGAAAGCCAGGGGAGCAAACGGG